CUUUUUUGUACCAUGUCCUGCAACAUUCCCUCAGCUGAAUCUCUCGGGCAGAGAAAGAAUAUGUACCUGUGCCCCUAUAACAUGGCCUUGGGCAGCAGAAGGGUUUAUACAUCCCAUAUGGAGCUUUAUGACUUCAGUUUGAUACUAUGCUGGAACUUAGAAGCAUGCCUCAUGCAGUGUGUGCACCUUUUCCACUUGGCAUAUGCCUGGUUGGCUUCUCAGAGAGAGCAGUGUACUUCCUCCUCACCCACGGAAUGCUGUGCUGCUACCUUCGAUGCCAUCCUCAAACCCUUCUCUGAACAUGAACCCCGCAUUUCCUCAUAGACUUCUCAGGCCCUGUGAUAUUGGGGAUUACUCUGUAAAUGCAGCAGCUCCAGAAGGCAGAGGACACUCUACUC
rnacentral:lncRNA from 1 species